UACAGAGGGGGCAAGCGUUGUUCGGAAUUACUGGGCGUAAAGGGCGCGUAGGCGGCCUGCUAAGUCGAACGUGAAAUCCCCGGGCUCAACCCGGGAACUGCGUCCGAUACUGGUGGGCUUGAAUCCGGGAGAGGGAUGUGGAAUUCCAGGUGUAGCGGUGAAAUGCGUAGAUAUCGGGAGGAACACCGGUGGCGAAGGCGGCGACCUGGGUCGAUACUGACGCUGAGGUGCGAAAGCGUGGGGAGCAAACAGG
rnacentral:rRNA from 1 species